UACGAAGGGGGCAAGCGUUGUUCGGAAUUACUGGGCGUAAAGAGCGCGCAGGCGGUAUGACAAGUCAGAUGUGAAAGAGGCCGGCUUAACCGGCAAGGGUCAUUUGAAACUGUCAGACUAGAGUGCAGCAGAGGAUAGUGGAAUUCCCGGUGUAGUGGUGAAAUGCGUAGAUAUCGGGAGGAACACCAGUGGCGAAGGCGACUAUCUGGGCUGCAACUGACGCUGAGGCGCGAAGGCUAGGGUAGCAAACAGG
rnacentral:rRNA from 1 species